rnacentral:tRNA from 1 species
GGGGGUGUAGCUCAGUGGUGGAGCCCUUGCCUAGCAAGCACAAGGUCCUGGGUUCAAUCCCCAACACCACAA